GGUUGGGUCGGAGGGGAACGUACCUUUUCCUGAGGCUUGUGGCUGGAGGGGAACGGGCUUUUCCUCAGUGUUGGGGCCAGAGGGGAAGGGCUUUUCGUCAGGGUUCGGGCCGGAGUGGGAAGGGCUUUUCCUCAGGUUUUUGCCAGGAGGGGAAGGGGCUUUUCCUCAGGCUUGGGGCUUUUUCUGAGGGUUGGGGUCGGAUGGGAAGGGGCUUUUUCUGAGAGUGGUUGUGGCCGGAGGGAAGGGGCUUUUCUGAGGGUUGUGUCCGGAGGGGAAGGGGUUUUUCGUCAGGGUUAGGGCUGGUGGGGAAGGGCUUUUCCUCAGGGUUGGGGCCCGACGCGCAGGGACUUUUCUUCAGGGUUGGGGUUUUCCUCAGUUUUGCGGCCGGAGGGGAAGUGGUUUUUGUCAGGGUUCGGGCCGGAGUUGAAGGGGCUUUUCCUCAGGUUUUUGGCAGGAGGGGAGGUGGCUUUUCUUCAGGGUUGGGGCUUUUUCUCAGAGUUGGGGUCGGUGGGGAAGNGGUUUUUGUCAGGGUUCGGGCCGGAGUUGAAGGGGCUUUUCCUCAGGUUUUUGGCAGGAGGGGAGGUGGCUUUUCCUCAGGGUUGGGGCUUUUUCUCAGAGUUGGGGUCGGUGGGGAAGGGGCUUUUUCUCAGAGUUGGGGUCGGAGGGGAAGGGGCUUUUUCUCAGAGUUGGGGCCCGAGGGGAACGGGGUUUUUCUCAGGGUUAUGGCUGGAAGGGGAAGGGGCUUUUUCUCAGGGUUGUGGCUGGAGGGGAAGGGGCCUUUUCUGAGGCUUGGGGUCGGAGGGGAAGGCGCUUUUCCUCAGGGUUGGGGCUUUUCCUCAGGGUUUGAGACAGAGUGUAAGGGGUUUUUCGUCAGGGUUGUGUACGGAGGGGAAGGGGCUUUUCCUCAGGGUUGGGGCCGGGAGGGGAAGGGGCUUUUCCUCAUGGUUGGGGCAGGUGGGGAAGUGCUUUUUGUCAGGGUUGGGGCCGCAGUGGAAGGGGCUUUUCCUCAGGUUUUUGGCAGGAGUGGAUGUGGCUUUUCCUCAGGGUUGGGUCUUUUUCUCAGGGUUGGGGUCGGAAUAGACGGGCCUUUUCCUCAGGAUUGGCUCCUCAUGGGAAGGGCCUUUUCCUCAGGGUUGGGGCCGAAAGGGAAGGGACAUUUCCUAAGCGAUGGGACCACAUGGGAAUGGGAUUUUCCUCAGGGUUGCAGGGUUGGAGCCGAAAGGGAAGGGACAUUUCCUAAGCGAUGGGAGCAGAUGGGAAUGGGAUUUUCCUCAGCGUUGCAGGUGCCUAGUGCAGUCUUGGACAGGGAAUUCCACAUGUCACGGAGCAGUUGUGGAAGGCGGAGACGCAGUGUGCGAUACAGGAUGUCACGACCCGAGCUGCCUCUGGAGUGACUCUGGUGCUGUAAGUGGCUAAAGAGAACAGAUGGAAGCAUCUGCUCUGUGGGGUAGGUAAGCUGCUGAGGUAAAGGAGGGGAUGAGAGUAACUGACCUAAGGGUGCUGUGGCUUUUGCUGCUGUGGUUG
rnacentral:lncRNA from 1 species